rnacentral:sRNA from 1 species
UGGUAAUUUAUUAAACAAUUUUUAUGGUAUAAUUUAAAUUUUUUUUUUUUUUCUUAUUUUCGUAAAAAAAAAUUAAUAUGAAAUGUUUAAAUAUAAUUAUAUUUUGUUCUUUAUAGAAUAAAUUAUUCAAAAUUUUAUACGCUCAAAAUAUAAUAUGUUAAGACUUAAUAAAUAUAUAUAUAUAUAUAUAUAUAUCAAUAUAUGUUUUAUAUAAAAAUUACAUGUUCAGCUUAAAAAAUUAAAGCGAUGUUUUUGUAAUAGUUAUAAUUCUUUUUUUUUUUCUUUUUGAUGUCCUCUUUAAGUACACAACUGAUUUUAUUCAUAGUUAUAAAGACCAAGAAUAAUUUAUACCUGAAUAAAAAGAAAUAACCCUGAAUAAAUUAAAAUGUCCUACUUUUAUAUAUAUUUAAAAUAUAUAUAAUAUAACGCUGAAUUAUUAAAAGAGAAAAUAAAGAAACUAAAUGAAAAUAAAUUAGAAUGGAAAUAAAAUAAAAGAUGAACAAUGAAAAUGAAGAGAAAAGAAAAGAAAAGAAACGAAAAUAAAAUAAAAGGUGAAAAAUGUAAAUAAGAGAAAAGAAAAGGGGGAAUGUUUUAAAAUUACAUAUAAUCAAUUAUUAAAAUAUAUAUAUAUAUAUAUAUAUAUAUAUAUAUAUAUAUAUGAAUGAGGCCCCUUUCAUUUCACUAAAUAUUUAUAUAUAUUUGUUUUGCAUAUUAAAUAUAUAAUAAAUAAAAUAAAUUCUUUUAUAAUCUUAAUUUUAUUACUAAACUUUUUAUACGUAAUAUAAAUUAAAACUAAGGUCUAUAUUAUUAUGAAUCGUUAUUCAUAUAUAUAUAUAUAUAUAUAUAUAUAUAUGUAUGUAUGUAUUACUUUAAAAGGGUUAUAUGUUAUGAUUUUAACUUUAUUUUAAUAUAUAUAAUAUGUAUUUACAAAUAUAGAUAGAAAAUAUUAGACACAUAAACUUAUGUAUAUAUAUACAGGUUUAUAUAUAAUAAAAUUAAAAUAUUCUAGUAUAUGUAUAUUUAUAUAUAAGUCUAUAUGAGUAAACAUAUCAACCUAUAUAGAUAAAAAUAUAUACUAAUAUUUAUCUUUAUAUAUAUGAACAUAAAUAUAUCCAAAUAUUUAUAUAUUUAAACAUAUGUAUAUAUACAAAAAUAUAUAUAAUCACAUAUAUAUACAUAUAACCAUAAACAUUAAAAAAUAUUUAUGUAAUUGGAUGUGUAUAUAUGAAAAUAUACAAAUAAAUAUAUAUAAACAAAAAUUAACAUAGACAUAAUAACAAAUAAAUAUAUAUAAAUAAAUAUUAAAAUAUACAUAAUAACAAAUAAAUAUUAAUAUAUAUAUAUAUAUAUAUAAACAAAUAAAUAAAUAUAUUUAUAUGAAUGCGUAUAUAUAUAUAUAUAUAUAUAUAUAUAUAUAUAUAUAUAUAUAUAUAUAUAUAGGUACGUACACGCUUAUCAAAUAAAUAUGUCAUAUAUACAUGAUAUUAUAAACAUUAAUAUAUAAAUUAAAUAUAUAUAUAUAUCAUAUAUUUAUCAUUUAUAUGUAUAAAUUUAUAUACGUAAAAUCUUUUUUAUAUAUUUUCUUUUUUUUAUGUUUUUUUUGUUUUAUUAACAAAUAAAUAGAUAUAAAAGAAAUUUUAGUUACAUUCAAUUAAAAGAAGAAAAUAAUAAUAAUAUUAAUUGAUUUUAUUUAGUACUAUAUAAAGUUUUCCUGUUAGAAUAAAUAUAUGAAAAACAUAUAAUAAAUGAAAGAUUUUAAAAAAUAUAUAUAUAUUUGUUAUAAAAAAUUAUAAUAAACUAAACAAAACGUGCGUGCAUAUGUAAUAUACAUAUAUUUUAUUAAAGAUGUAAUUUAAUAUCAAAAUUAAUAAUAUAGUUUAUUAUCCAAUUAAUGUUUUAAGAAUAUGAUAACUUAAAGAAUUUACUAUUUUAAGAAUUAUAUGAUUUAAGAAUAUUCGAGCGAUCGAAUUAUCGAAAUAAUGAACCAAAUAAAAAAAAAAAAAAAAAAAAAAAAAAAACUAAAUAUAAAAUAUAUAUUAAAAGGGAUUUACUAAGAAAAAGAAAUGAUGUGUAUCAUAAUGAUGUAGUUAUCAAAAUAAAUUUUUUUUUUGGUUAUAUUAAUGUUAUUAUUUAUAAAUAAUUAUUUAUUUUUUUUUUUUUAUACAUGCCCAUUUCGUGUCUUUUUUUUAGAAAUAUAUCUUUUGUAAUAUUUGUUAUUUAUAUAUAAUUUACUUAAUGUGUUUAUUAUACAAUAGUUUUGUUAGUUGUAACUAAUUCUAGAAGACAUAAAAUGAACAUAUUAUAAAUUUUAAAUAAUCAACAUGGAUUAUUUAUUAUUUGAAUGUGUCCUUAAAUUAUGGAUGAUCCUAAUAUUAUAUAACUUAAAUAAAUCACUUAAGACGUUUAAAUUUUUUAUACAUUAUUCAAAAUAAUAUGGCAUAUCAAUAUUUUCUUUAGGAAUAUAAAUAUAUAUAUAUAUAUAUAAGAACCCUUCUUAUAUUAUAUAAUAAUGUAAUUUCUUGUUAAAACAAAAAAGGAAAUAAAUGUACAUAUAUUUAAGAAAAAAAAAGUAUAUAUAUAUAUAUAUAUAUAAUUUAAGAAUCUGUAAUUUAUUAUGUUAGUUUAUUCUGUAAUUUUUUAUAUGUAACACAUAUAUAUCUUUGACUUAGCUAUAUAUAUAUAUAUAUAUAUAUAUAUAUAUAUUAGAAAUUAUUUUGUUUAGUAUUAUACUAAUUAAUCAAUAUAAAAUUUUAUAAUAAAAUAUUAGGCUAUAGUUGUAUUAUCUUUAUAUCAAUGUCAUAUUUCCCUAUGAUUAUCCCCAUAAAAUGCAAAUAAUAACUUAGAUGUUGUAAAAUAUAGUAUCUUAGAACAUAUAACAUUUUGAGAAUAAAAAAGCAAAAUAAAACAAAUUUAACAAUUUAUUUAUAGUUUUUUAUGUUAUUAUAUAUUGUAAAACAUCAGUAUUCUUAACGAAUUAAUAGACACAUCUAAGUUCAUUUAAGAAGAGAUAUAUUUUUAGUUAUUUUAUAAUUAUUCAUUAUAUUUUUUUUUUUUUUUUUUUUUUUUUUUCUGAAUACAUAUAAUUUCAUUUUAUUUAAAAAUAUAACAACAUUUAAGAAUUUUGAUUUAUAUAAGAAAUAUUUUGCCUCACACAGUUUCUCUUUAUCUUAAUUUUUAUUUUAUUUCAUUCUUUAUUUAUUAUUUUUUCUUUAUAUAUAUUAUAUAUUUUUCCAUUCCCUAUUUAAUAUUACAUUUAUUUAAAAAUAUAAGUGGAA